rnacentral:lncRNA from 1 species
UUCUAAUCAAAACCAAUGAUCAACAUUUAUUCUACUUCGACGUAAAGUAUCCUCGUUUUCUUUUAAAUUAUUAGAUUAAAAAUACAUAAUGUUAAAAAAAAAAUAAGAUACUGUUAUAGAAAAGAUUUUUUUUUUUUCAAUUUAUUGUAUGUUCGUUUAUUCUUAUAGAUAUCAUGACUUCAUGAGUAUUUUACCUAGUACUAGAGUCCUAGUCAAACCAAAUAAUCAUACCAUAUAUGUAAUCCAAAGAAGUAUAAUCCACUUUAAUGACAAUUUGUCAAAAUGUACACAUAAG